AUCUAGGACACGGAUUCUCACGCAGCAAGCAGUGCAACUGUGAGUGGAGGUGAGGGCAGCCUGGCCCACAUAUGAAUGGUUUUGGAGAUGGU